AAUUUGGUCCAAUAACAUCACCGUCAUAAAACAGAAGUUCAUUUAUAAUAUUUAUUUUAAAGAGAGAACUAUUCUGAAAUAUUAUUUCCACUUAAGGAUGUAUUAAGGUAUGUGUUCCUGGCAGAAUACAUAUUACAAUAUAAGAGCAGAUAUCAUAGCAUUGUUUAUAACAACGUUUCAAAUGAACUUGUGUGUAUAGGAGGAACAAAUAUACAUUGAAACCAGAAUACAAUAUUUUUGUUGAACCAAACAAAAAGUGGCAUAUUGAGGGUAUGAUUACAAAAAUGAUAGCACUCCAUUUGAUGAAUAUGUCUAUGCAGUAGAUAACACGGAGAAGGAGUGGAGAACAACAUUUUGAUUGAAUUUCAAAACGAAAGUUACUUACCUAAACAAAUGUCAGGUUAUCUCCCUUUGCGCAGUACGUAGCUUUUAUGUAUAUUAUUUAGCAGCCAGAGAUGAUAUAGACUAUAUAAACUAUGGAGAAGGCAUACAUUCAGUAUGUGGUAGAGGAAGAGUACUGCAGGCAAUACAAAGGAUGGGUGCUUAACUAUACAGACAAGCUGAUUUGAAUGAAGAUUGGAGUAGAUCUUGAUUUUUAAUAAAUUUGCCAGGAAUCAUAUUAUCAGCAGCAUGUCUACCUCGUGCUUGGUCCAGAUGAAUUAGUUCCAGGCUAUAUUCAAUUAAAAAGAUUACUUCAUGUUUAAAUAGAUUCAGAUUCAAUAGUUCUAAUUAUAAAAAUACGUAAAACAGGAUUAGAAUAUACAGAAUACAUGUAUUAAACAAGUAAAAUUAUGCGCCAUUCUUAAAGAAUUAUUAGAGAUUAUAUAAAAUAUCUUAAGAAAAUAAUGAUUGUGCAACAUACCACACCAACCGCCAAAACCAGUGUCAUCCGGAAAAAAAACCCAAGAUAUAUAAACAAAGACACACAACAACAAAAAGCACAUGGUCCUGGUGGCACAGGCACAAAUAUGUGUUUGGGUUAACAAGUCUUAGGAAAAAUGUUGCAGAAAAAACAAUUUCAACCAUUAAUUGUCGUCAGGUAAUUUCAUGCAUGGAGGAACUUUAGAAAGCCAACAAAACAGAUGAAAACACCGUGAAUGCAAAUUCAGAAGAAGAUAAUACAAAAACAAUAUAAAUACAUUAAGCAACAAAAUUGUAUGCUAAAAACCAAGCCCUUUUUU